rnacentral:rRNA from 1 species
AGCAGCCGCGGUAAUUCCAGCUCCAAUAGCGUAUAUUAAAGUUGUUGCAGUUAAAAAGCUCGUAGUUGAAUUUCGGGAUCAAGUCGUCGGUCGUGCUCAGGUACGUACUGGCGUCAUUGAUUUCUCCCUUCUGACGAACCAUGAUGUCAUUAAUUUGGUGUUAUGGGAAAUCAGGACUGUUACUUUGAAAAAAUUAGAGUGUUUAAAGCAGGCUCACGCUUGAAUACAUUAGCAUGGAAUAAUGAAAUAGGACGUUCGAUCCUAUUUUGUUGGUUUUAGGAUCAACGUAAUGAUUAAUAGGGAUAGUUGGGGGCAUUAGUAUUCAAUUGUCAGAGGUGAAAUUCUUGGAUUUAUUGAAGGCUAACUACUGCGAAAGCAUUUGCCAAGGAUGUUUUCAUUAAUCAAGAACGAAAGUUAGGGGAUCGAAGACGAUCAGAUACCGUCGUAGUCUUAACCAUAAACUAUGCCGACUAGGGAUCGGAUGAUGUUAAUUUUUAAUGA